CUUUCUAAUGUGCACAUUAUUGUUCAAUACUUUAACUUUCGCUCGACGGCAAGGCUAAUUUUUUGUGAAACUUUGGAUCCUUGUCUGAUUUGGUAUACUUAAUAAGAAUAAUAAUGGAAAUAUAUGUGCAUAAAUGGAUUAAUUUGAUGACUAAAAUUAUCCUGGAAGCUAAAUUUGAGGGAAUACAGGACUGAUACGAUGCUAUCGAGAUCUUUGCAUCAUCUUCAAGGUCAAGGUCUUA